GACGAACGCUGGCGGCGUGCUUAACACAUGCAAGUCGAACGGAAAGGCACUGCUUUUGUGGGGUGCUCGAGUGGCGAACGGGUGAGUAACACGUGAGUAACCUGCCCUUGACUUUGGGAUAACUUCAGGAAACUGGGGCUAAUACCGGAUAGGAGCUCCUGCUGCAUGGUGGGGGUUGGAAAGUUUCGGCGGUUGGGGAUGGACUCGCGGCUUAUCAGCUUGUUGGUGGGGUAGUGGCUUACCAAGGCUUUGACGGGUAGCCGGCCUGAGAGGGUGACCGGCCACAUUGGGACUGCGAUACGGCCCAGACUCCUACGGGAGGCAGCAGUGGGGAAUAUUGCACAAUGGGCGGAAGCCUGAUGCAGCAACGCCGCGUGCGGGAUGACGGCCUUCUGGUUGUAAACCGCUUUCGCCUGUGACGAAGCGUGAGUGACGGUAAUGGGUAAAGAAGCACCGGCUAACUACGUG
rnacentral:rRNA from 1 species